rnacentral:lncRNA from 1 species
UUCUGAACAUAACCCACCCUACCUCUUAUCUCUCUCUAAAAACUUCUGAACAUAGAAUCCACCCUAAAUCGUUACGAUAAUGGCAACCGAAACCCUAAACACUCCGGCGACUAAAUCAGAAUCCAACAGCCGACGACGGAAAACACCGCAACCCUAAACACUCCGGCGACUGAAUCACUCCGGCGUUUGAAUCACUCCGGCGACUGAAUCAGAACCAUCAGCUGACCACGAACGGUACCAGCGCCGGUGAACCGAACCUGCCGGCGUCUGAAUCAACAUUGAAAGGCACCGACGCCGGUGAACCGAAUCUGCCGGUGGUGGCGCACGGCAGUUCAGAGAUGAGAGAGAGAAUCGGAGACGAGGCAAGAGAAGGGGCGACGCCAUUCGCGGCGGCGGCGGCUUGGUUCCGGCUGUUCAGGUCUCGAUUUGGGCUCCGGUUUGGGUCUCCCAACACAGUCGGUUAAGUUUUGGUUCCGAGAGGAGCGGCGCCGCCGCUCACGGCGGCGACGGUGAAGAUGAUUUCUAGGGUUUCUGUGUAGAUGAUGAACUGAUGAUGAUAUGGGGACAGAGUAUCUAUCUGAUCUGGUGGAAAAGGGGCAUACAUCUCAUAAUCAUGGAAGAAAGAUGGUGAAUAGCUAAUAGAACAGUAAAGGGUACUGUUCUAUUUAUAGGCACGGACAAACCACUGAAGCAUCUAAGCUGACGUUACCAUGAAAGUGACAUAUAACCUCCUAACAAACUCUAACAUCUUAUCUAUACAACCACUGCUAUGCUAACAACUGUUAUUACAAUACAUUACAUGAUAUAAACUAAACUACUGCUGCAUCCUUCCACUGAUGUGAACCCAGCAGUACUUGACAUAUCUAGCAGAGCUUGACCCAUAGCAGUAGAUUGAAUCAGCAGAGCUUUAGUCUUCCAUCAGUCUUUAACUUGGACAGCAGUUGUAGGUCAGCAGUUUGUAAUGAUCAGCAGAUUGGAGGUCAGCAGAUGUUGAAACCACUUUCAAUGGGAGAGGCUUGAUUUCAUAACUUUUGCUUAUUCUGGAUCCACUGCCCUGAUCCAGUUUUGGCUUUUAAUUAUCUGUUCCUCUGAUAGGGUUCAAUCCCAACAAUAACAUAAUCCUCCAACUCCAACUCACACCUUCGUUUGCCCUGUAGGGUAACCUUGGUGUUCCUGUACUAAAUCAACAAUCCCUUUGCUCGUCGGGUAGAAUAACCUUGGCGUUCCUGUACUACGUCAACCAACACUACGCUCGCGGAAUUUCUAAAUAAGAUUUAGCAAAACCGUGAGUAUACUCGAACACCCUUUUUCCGUUUUACACUUUAGGUGUAAUAUGUUUACUAUUAAACCUACACAGUUACAUUUAGACUUAUUCAAAAUGCACAAACAAUCCAAUACAUGCAUGCAUACGUUAUAAUUGAUUCGUUAAUCUGGGGUUAUUCUUUUUGUGAUAAACUUGUUAUUAACUUCGUAUGGGCCUACCCUUAACAUGUAUAGCGCUAUAGGAGUAACGCACCGCCCGUGAAUGUGAGGUCAUGUUAAGUCUUUAAACAUUGCGUUAAACCUUAGGUUGACUUGAAUAUUCACAUGCCAGUUUUUCAUUAAUCUUGAUAACUUAGAUUGCCAUGUGGAUUUGUUUAAAUCUUUUAUAUUUAUGUUAUGUAUCAAACUUGUAUACUCGCCAGUACUUUUGUAUUGAACCAUGUAUUUUUAACAUAUUGUAGGAUGAUGAUGAUAUUAAAAUGGGCGUAGCGAAGAUGCUUUAGAUAUACACUUAGAAAUCAUUAGAUUAUGUUGUUGUAUCAAUUUUGAACUAUGUUAUAUUGUAAAUUGUUUUUAUGUAUUUGAACCAUCGUUGUAUUUGAAAUUUAUAUGAUGUAUGUGAUGAUGUGCAAAAUGUAACAUAUAAAUUUCAUCAAAUGAGGCAUAAAACUAACCAUUUUUUUAGUACUAAUGUUGGAAAAAGUGUGUUUUUGUCUUCCUUUUGAAUUUACAUGACCAAAUAAGCUUAAACGAGCAAAAGGAACAAAUAUACAGCCAAAACCAACAUAAAUACAAAGAAAAGGAAUAAACGUGACAUGCCCGACCCCUCGGCAGCAUCCCCAAAGGCAAAAACAAGAAACAGAAGACUGACCACGGGGCCGUGCCCACUGGACACGGGGGCGUGCCCAUUGGACACGGGGGCGUGCCCACUGGACACAGGGGCGUAGUCAGCUACCUGCAAAAAAGACAAAGCUGUGGAAGCUUCUACGCCCACCACGGGGGCGUGCCCAGCUCAGCACGGGGCGUGGUCAACGCUAAGAUACACAGAAUCUUGCAAAAUCUUGGUAGUACAGAUACGCUUCUGCACACGGGGCCGUGCCCGCUGGACACGAGCCGUGUUGAGCCCUAUGCUGACAAAUGCAAUUAAUGAAGGAAAAGAAAAGGAUGGGCACGGGGGCGUGUCCGCUGGACACGGGGCCGUGGCCGGGCUUCUGUUCAGGCUAUAAAUAGAGGUGCUUAGCUCACUUCAAAGGCAUCCCUUGGCAAACCACCACUUUCCCACUUCACCACCACUCCACCACCACUACAACACCCACAUCCACCACCAUCAUCCAUCAUCCACCUUAGAGUGUGUGUAGUAGUCUCGGCAUCCAAGAUUGAUAGCAAGAAUUCUUGUCAAUCAAAGGCCAUGUUUGGCUAAGUUUCUUACAUCACUUGGUGAAGACAAGUCUUUAAUGUAUUACUUUUGAUUUUUAAUCUUUUCGCACUUUUUAUUUGGUUUUGUAUUAAUGACUUUAAUAACUAGUUUCUUAUGUUGAAGGUGAAACUUCUUUAUCAUUUGUCCGUGGUGUCUUGGCAUUACUUUACUGUCUAUAUUAAGUAAAAGAUUUACACCAUUCAUAUCUCUAUGGUCUAUACAGAGAUAUGUUGGCUAGCUGGUCGGGGGUUAAGGGAAUGGUUUCGUAAGGUUCUUGCCUUAUUCAGUGUAUAGAUCCUGCAAGGAUCUGGGUCAAGCUUACUAGGACCUCCUUCAAUACCCACUGGUAUUGGAUGGCGGGGGUGCGAAUGACUUGAUCCCCUCAUAUGUAAACUACUAUUAAUACAUUAAACCGGCUACUUGGGAUUGUAUCCCUGCUGACUUAAACCACUUAGCCGAGGAUAACGUCACCUUCAAAAGAGGGGCCUACCACUUUUCGCAUUAAUAACUUAAAUAAUUAUCUUUCAAUAUUCCGACCCUUUUGGAUUGUAUCCUUGCUGACUCAGACCACUGGGUUGAGGGUAACGUCACCUUCAAAAGAGGGGCCUACUACUAUAACUAAGAUAAUCUCUUAAAAAGUGCAAAAGUGCGAAAAUCAUCAAAGGAUACAUUAAAGGCGAGUCGGAUCCAAGUGAUUCAUCCUGUCUAUCUGUUUUUAUUUAAUUUUUUUUCUGCAUUUUUUAUUUUUAUUUUCAUUUUUUAAAAUCUUUUAUCAAAAAUUUUAGAUUGAUUAGACGUUGAGGAUAAACCGGUACUAAAAGCUCUUGUGUCAUUGGACGACCUCGGUAUCUUACCAACGCUAUACUACAAUCACGAUGGGUGCACUUGCCCAUGUGUGUGUUUAGUGUUAGUAGAUUAUCGUGUUUUAUAAAUUUAAAACUUGACUAAUGCGUAAAAUGGGCUAAAAAUAUCAAUAAAAUCAUAUUACACCUCGCACACACCGGUGACAAUUUGUAUCAAUGAAAUGAAAUCAGUUUAUUUAAACUAAUGUCGCUUUUAGUGUUAUGUUGCAAUGAGCAAUCUCGUUUUCGUCUCACUCCGAUGUUUCCGCCAUCGGUUGGGGUGUGACAGUUCACACUUUCACCAAACAUUAGUCUUUCCAUAUGAAACUUAUGUGACUUCAACACUUGUGGGUUGUCUUAAACCCUUUCAAGGGUGUUUGCACAUCUAAACUUGUAAGAAUCAACCAUACACGAGCUCACUAACCAUAGACUUGAUUAGAAGCAAUGUAGGUAUGAGUUGCAUAAGAAAUCAUAAGUUUUAUAAAGUUAACAAAGUAUUCUUCCAAAACAGAAAGUUUAGACCUCAAAAUGGUGAUGUUCCACCUUAGAUUACCAUGGUAAUCUUGUGGAAACACUCCUAGAGGUGUUCCAAGCUUUGUAUUGGAAGAGAAGAUGAAGAAAGUGAGGUAGAAGCUCACUUCUUGCACUUGGAAUAAUUUACCCAAAAUUGGUAUUUUCAGCUGGUUUGAGAGCAUUUUGAGAGUGAAAAUGAGUUGGGAAAGUGAAAAUGGGAGGUAAGAAGCUUGUAUAUAUAGUGGAUGAUUAGGGUUUUGGGUUUAAGAAGGUUGUAUGCUGAUUGGGGAAGAAGAAGGUGACCAAUCUUGGAGCUGGAAACACCUUUCUGUGGAUCAAGGGGGUUGGCGCUAUGCCAAGCUAAAUGGAGUUUGGUGUCGCGUAGCGCCAAGCCUCAUUUAGCCUGAUUUGUCAUUUUAUUGCUUUUUAGUCCCUGAACUUUGAUAUUUCAUUAUUUCAAGCUAUAACUUGUGUAUUUGGCAUAAAAUUAAGUAUAAAACAUGUAUGAAAGCAUAGGUUGAGUAUCGUGAAUGUAUGUACAAGCAUUUACACGUAUAAAUAGUAUUAAAACACGUAUUUACGAUUGUCUGUAUGUAAGAUAAGUACGAAUUUGUGCGUAAAACGAAUGUGUAUCUGAUGUAUAAGAAUUUAUACAUCUUUUAAACGUCAAAUACGCCCCGUUUAUGCGAAAAAUCUUUGUAUUUUCAUUGAUUUUGGUACUCAUUUGAGUUGUUUGUGAAAAUACAGGUCCGGGCUUCGGCCCGGUGAUGAAACGGAAGCUUUUGGAGCAAAAUAGAGCUAAAAUGGUGCAUUCCAGCAAACUGCCAGAUAUGGCACUACCGUGCCAAACAGUGGCACGACCGUGCCAAGCCCUCCGACAUCGGCACUCUCAGCCAGCACUAGCAUCUAUCAGCCAAAUCGUCAAAAUUCAGGGGAGCACUACCGUGCCAAACAGUGGCACGCCCGUGCCAGGCCAAAAUCAACUCCUGAUCAGCUUGUUUCCGAGAACGAUGUGACUAUUACCGAGCACUACCGGCUCGCACGACCAGAGCAUCUCUGAGCACGGUCGUGCGACCUCGGGAACAUUUGAGCGGGAUUUUUCCAGAAAUGGUAGCAAACAAGAUUGACAGACGAAAAGUGACUCUGACACUUGCCAAGCACGACCGUGCCAAAAGGUGGCAGGGUAGUGCCAAACGCCCAGCAGUUUAAAUACGAGUUUCUAGCUCAUUUGCAAGGGAGUUGGAGCAUUUUGGUGACUUUUUCUCUCAAGAAUCUGGUCUUGGAAGCUUGUUGGAGCCAAGAGGGAGCCUUGAAGAGGAUUAAAUCACUUGAAGAUCUACUCAAACACCAUUUAAUUCUUGUCUUUAACUUGGUUAGCUUACUACAUUAUGAACAAUUUAUGUUUAUUUGUGCUUGAUUUGGUAGUCAUGAGCCUUAUGGGCUAAACACUUGUGUUGUCUAAACUAUGUUGAAGCUUAUGAACAUAUGAUAAUAUGGAAGUAGAUGUGAUGAUUGU